rnacentral:pre_miRNA from 1 species
AUAUUUUGGAUUCGUCGGUCUACCGAGCAAUAUCACCCGCUCGGUAGAAGAUCAUUGACUU